rnacentral:lncRNA from 1 species
CAUAACCUAGUAGCCUUAACCUAAAAGCCAUUCAUCCUACAAAAAUCAACCUAUUAACUUUAUGCAGGCUGUAAACCAAAUUGUAAACAGUCCAUGAACACGUACAUGACAAACCUAUACCAUACAACAUUGCAUCACCAUGCUAGCAUUCCCAAAUAGCCCAAGCGCAUACAGCAUAUCAGACCUGGAUAAGGUCUAGAAACAGGCUGCAUAACAUAUCCCAAGCAAGCCACAAACCAUGACCUUUCCACAACAUUAAACCAAACUAGCAAUUAACAGAAUUGAAAGAGUGUAGAAAAAAACAAUCUUGCAGGUCGAACUGGACAGUCGACAACAGAAUUUCAACAAGAUUUCCACUUGCACAUUGCCCUGUAAAAGAAGAUGGCAUAAUUUACUAACUUCAUUCAAACUCACAAAUCCAAUCCCACCGAUAUAACCCUUAACCCUGCAUAUUGACAGAAUAUCACAUUGUAAAAUAACAGAACGUAAUGCAGGGAAUCGUGACCUCACUAACUGAAUUUUUAAGUUCUAACAUAACAUAAGUAACAAUCACAUACAGGUCAGUAAACCAAUUUCCAAACCGACGGCUAGAAUACAGAACUUCAAAAAAGAAAAUCAUAAUAAGCUAACAAUUUGCAUAUACAUUUAGUUGCACUAACAACUGGGUUCAUUCAAGCUCAAGUAAUGGACAAGGAUAACAAAUCAGAAACAUCAAUGAUAUUGGUAUAUCCGGUUAACAUUCACAUAACUAAUUCAUCCUGAUUCCCACAGUUAAAAGAAAAAAACUAACAUUAAAACCUGACAUUUGUAACAUAGAAUUUAACAUAAAUAAGUAAUAGCUUAACAGUUAACAUUGCAUAAUUCACAUUUAAAUCUAACGUUAUCAAGUUCUAACAGCAGUGCAUCAGUAAACAAAAUCUGCAGGCCAUUUUCGCAACUAAAGCAUUCUAACAUAUUUAACAGGGUUAAUUAAGAUAAAUACAAGUCCUUAACUAACUUCAUUCCAGCUCAGCAAACUAACUCUAACAGAUUAACCCUAACUAAACUUUAACAAUGUCAUCUUCAUAACCGAAUCGUACAUGGAUGAUUUAACAGAGUUCAAACUCUGUUAAAACUGAGGUCUAUAUAACCAAUUCAAUCAUUACAGAAUCAGAUACUAAUCAUUGCUCACAAAAAUCCAUUAUUAUUCAAUCGUUUCCCAAUCACGUUUCAUUCACUCUCAAACACGAAUUCAGAGAUCUCACUCGGUUUUUUGCUUCAAUCCCAAUUUUGUCUCUCUCCCUCACUCAAAGCUCUAUUCAGAACUCCAUUGAAGCUUCACCUUAAAGCUUCAAGAAGAGUUAGCUAAGCCUCUCAUUACUCACGGUUCGAUUUUGGAAGAAGAAGUAGAAAAUAGAAGAAGCAAUGAACAUCAAAGGAAGAAGCAGAUCGUGAAUUUUACUUGUUUGUUCACGUGAUUUUCCUUCACAUUUCGUCAACAUUCACCAGAACAGUUCUCCGUUUCGGAGGUAAAAUUUCUUCUCUGUUUGCCUCAAAAUUAAUCAUCAUUGUGUAGUAGAUCUUCUUUGACAACAUUAACCCCAUGGUUUGCGAGAGAAUCCUUGUUUUUAUGUCGUUUAAUUUAACUUUGACAUGUUAGGGUUCUUGACUGAGCGCUUUCGAUUGGAACGAUUCAAGUUGUUUUUAGAGCUUUUCAUGGCCAUAUAUGGAUUUAGGGGAAAGAAUAGGGUAGAAAUACAGUUUCUGUUUGAGAUUUUAUGGUAUCUCCGUCGCCGAGGGAACCUCCGGCGCGGCGGUCGAAAGACGGUAAGUAAAGAGAGGGAUGAACUUGGUAUUUUCAAAUAUUAUUUUAAAGAAUCUUUGGCCUUAUUCAUGUGCAUUGGUAAGCCUCAGAAAUUACUACUCACGUGAUUUGGAUCAUUAAUUGCAUGCGAAUUCCCAGGCGUCAUGACCAUGC